UACAGAGGGUGCGAGCGUUAAUCGGAAUUACUGGGCGUAAAGCGUGCGCAGGCGGUUUUUUAAGCCAGAUGUGAAAUCCCCGGGCUCAACCUGGGAAUGGCAUUUGGGACUGCAAGGCUGGAGUGUGGCAGAGGAGACUGGAAUUCCCGGUGUAGCAGUGAAAUGCGUAGAUAUCGGGAGGAAUACCGAUGGCGAAGGCAGGUCUCUGGGCUGACACUGACGCUCAUGCACGAAAGCGUGGGGAGCAAACAGG
rnacentral:rRNA from 1 species